rnacentral:rRNA from 1 species
AGUAAAAGUCGUAACAAGGUCUCCGUAGGUGAACCUGCGGAGGGAUCAUUACCGAGUGAGGGCGCCCCGGCGCCCGACCUCCCAACCCUUUGUCGAACUUACCUUGUUGCCUCGGGGCGCACCCUUCGCGGGCGGCCCCAGAGGACCAACCAUCAAAACCCUGCGUCCCUGCGUCGGAGUACCUUUGAUAAAUCAAUCAAAACUUUCAACAACGGAUCUCUUGGUUCUGGCAUCGAUGAAGAACGCAGCGAAAUGCGAUAAGUAAUGUGAAUUGCAGAAUUCAGUGAAUCAUCGAAUCUUUGAACGCACAUUGCGCCCCUUGGUAUUCCGGGGGGCAUGCCCGUUCGAGCGUCAUUACACCACUCAAGCCUCGCUUGGUCUUGGGCGGCGGGCUCUGCGCCCGCGCCUUCAAAUCUGCCGGCUGGACGGUUGGAAUCUCAGCGUUGUGAAUCAAAUUCGCUCGGAUCUCCGGCCGGACGCGCCGUUCAAAUUUCUAUUCAGGUUGACCUCGGAUCGGGUAGGGAUACCCGCUGAACUUAAGCAUAUCAAUAAGCGGAGGAAAAGAAACCAACAGGGAUUGCCCCAGUAACG